ensembl:snRNA U6 U6 spliceosomal RNA
GUGCUCGCUUUGGCAGCACAUGUACUAAAAUUGGAAUGAUACAGAGAUUAGUAUGGCCCCGGUACAAGGGUGACACACAAAUUCAUAAAGCAGUCUAUACUUUU